rnacentral:rRNA from 1 species
GUGGGGAAUAUUGGACAAUGGGGGGAACCCUGAUCCAGCCAUGCCGCGUGUGUGAAGAAGGCCUUUUGGUUGUAAAGCACUUUAAGUGGGGAGGAGGCUUACUUGGUUAAUACCUGGGCUAAGUGGACGUUACCAACAGAAUAAGCACCGGCUAACUCUGUGCCAGCAGCCGCGGUAUUACAGAGGGUGCGAGCGUUAAUCGGAUUUACUGGGCGUAAAGCGCGCGUAGGUGGUUAAUUAAGUCAAAUGUGAAAUCCCCGAGCUUAACUUGGGAAUUGCAUUCGAUACUGGUUAGCUAGAGUAUGGGAGAGGAUGGUAGAAUUCCAGGUGUAGCGGUGAAAUGCGUAGAGAUCUGGAGGAAUACCGAUGGCGAAGGCAGCCAUCUGGCCUAAUACUGACGCUGAGGUACGAAAGCAUGGGGAGCAAACAGGAUUAGAAACCCCAGUAGUCC